rnacentral:rRNA from 1 species
GCUGAACUUAAGCAUAUCAAUAAGCGGAGGAAAAGAAACCAACAGGGAUUGCCUUAGUAACGGCGAGUGAAGCGGCAAAAGCUCAGAUUUGAAAUCUGGCGUCAUUUUGGCGUCCGAGUUGUAGUCUGUAGAGGUGUAUUCGAGUAUGGCUUUGGCUUAAGUUCCUUGGAACAGGACGUCAUAGAGGGUGAGAACCCCGUUAACGGCCUUUGUCUUAUGCUCAUGUGAAUCUCCUUCAACGAGUCGAGUUGUUUGGGAAUGCAGCUCUAAAUGGGUGGUAAAUUCCAUCUAAAGCUAAAUACUGGCAAGAGACCGAUAGCGCACAAGUAGAGUGAUCGAAAGAUGAAAAGAACUCUGAACAGAGAGUUAAAUAGUACGUGAAAUUGUUGAAAGGGAAGCACUUGCGACCAGACACACUCGCAGUUGAUCAAUUCUCAUUUUUGAGGAUGCACUCGGCUGUCUGUGGGUCAGCAUCAGUUAUGGCGGUGGGAAAAAGACCAAGGGAAUGUGGCUCCUUUCGGGGAGUGUUAUAGCCUUUAGUGCAAUGCUGCCUGCUGUGACUGAGGACCGCGCUUUGGCGAGGAUGCUGGCAUAAUGGUCGUAAGUGACCCGUCUUGAAACACGGACCAAGGAGUCUAACAUCUAUGCAAGUGUUUGGGUGUUCAAACCCUUACGCGGAAUGAAAGUAAAUGGAGGUGGGAACCGCAAGGUGCACCAUCGACCGAUCCUGAUGUUUUCGGAUGGAUUUGAGUAGGAGCAUAGCUGUUGGGACCCGAAAGAUGGUGAACUAUGCCUGAAUAGGGUGAAGCCAGAGGAAACUCUGGUGGAGGCUCGCAGCGGUUCUGACGUGCAAAUCGAUCGUCAAAUUUGGGUAUAGGGGCGAAAGACUAAUC